UUACAACAGAGUCUUCCGAGUUACAAUCAAUUAACAACAAAAGAACUCGUUAUAUCAGAGACGGAUAUCUAUAAACUUUCAAUACGAUGAUAACGAACAUAGCGCGCGGUGAUCGAAGAAGCACACACCGCAUGCAAAUGUCACGUCGUAUAUAUAUUCAUCUCGUAAAUCGCUCACAUUCUAAUAAUCCUCCAAUAAUAAUCGAUUGUGUUAUUUUAAAUCUGAUUAAAUUCAAGGCGACGAUGUGAGCAGCGUAUCCCAGCCUGUGACCUAACGGCGGAUGAGAUGAAAAAACGAGAGAGAGAGAGACGGAGGGGGAGAGAAAAAGAGCUAGAAAAUCGAGUUGCGAGCCUGUUGAGAAAAAAGACUAAGAGAGGAAGAGGAAGAAGCGUGUUGCAGACAUCGUAAAAAACGAUCAAGAGAAUAAAAAUCAUCUAGACCGAUCAAACGAUCCGUGUUAAUAUGAGCAAAUUGGGCGUUGAUUGUACAGAGCUAAAAAUACUUUGUAAAAGAAUUGUAAGAAAUGAAGACUCGAUAGCGGAAGCUUUGGUGCACCGGAAAUCUUUACUUUGAGCA